rnacentral:rRNA from 1 species
UACGGAGGGGGCUUGCGUUGUUCGGAAUUACUGGGCGUAAAGCGCGCGUAGGCGGCUUUGUAAGUUAGAGGUGAAAGCCUGGAGCUCAACUCCAGAACUGCCUUUAAGACUGCAUCGCUAGAAUCGUGGAGAGGUGAGUGGAAUUCCGAGUGUAGAGGUGAAAUUCGUAGAUAUUCGGAAGAACACCAGUGGCGAAGGCGACUCACUGGACACGUAUUGACGCUGAGGUGCGAAAGCGUGGGGAGCAAACAGG